rnacentral:rRNA from 1 species
UACGUAGGGUGCAAGCGUUAAUCGGAAUUACUGGGCGUAAAGCGUGCGCAGGCGGUUUUGUAAGACUGUCGUGAAAUCCCCGGGCUUAACCUGGGAAUGGCGAUGGUGACUGCAAGGCUAGAGUUUGGCAGAGGGGGGUAGAAUUCCACGUGUAGCAGUGAAAUGCGUAGAUAUGUGGAGGAACACCGAUGGCGAAGGCAGCCCCCUGGGUCAAGAUUGACGCUCAUGCACGAAAGCGUGGGGAGCAAACAGG